GGCCGGCUAGCUCAGCCCGGUAGAGCAGCUCCCUGUUAAGGAGACGGUCCCUGGUUCAAAUCCAAGGCCGGCCGCCA
rnacentral:tRNA from 1 species